GACGAACCGUGCGAACGUUGUUCGGAUUCACUGGGCUUAAAGGGCGCGUAGGCGGGCAAGCAAGUCCGGGGUGAAAUCUUUCGGCUCAACCGGAAAAGUGCCUUGGAUACUGCUUGUCUAGAGGGAGGUAGGGGUCGCGGGAACUUCCGGUGGAGCGGUGAAAUGCGUUGAUAUCGGAAGGAACGCCGGUGGCGAAAGCGCGCGACUGGAUCUCUUCUGACGCUGAGGCGCGAAAGCUAGGGGAGCAAACGGG
rnacentral:rRNA from 1 species